GGGAAAGUGGCUCAGUGUUAGAGUGCUUGCCUUGCAUGCAUGAGGCCCUGGGUUCGAUUCCUCAGCACCA
rnacentral:tRNA from 1 species